GAGUUUGAUCAUGGCUCAGAGUGAACGCUGGCGGCGUGCCUAACACAUGCAAGUCGAACGAUGAUAGGAAGCUUGCUUCCUUGAUUAGUGGCGCACGGGUGAGUAUACCAUAGAUAAUGUACCUCUUAGUUCGGGAUAGCCACUGGAAACGGUGAUUAAUACCGGAUACUCCUUCUCGUUAUAAGACGAGUCGGGAAAGUUUUUUCGCUAAGAGAUCAGUCUAUGUCCUAUCAGCUAGUUGGUGAGGUAAUGGCUCACCAAGGCUAUGACGGGUAUCUGGUUUGAGAGGAUGAUCAGACACACUGGAACUGAGACACGGUCCAGACUCCUACGGGAGGCAGCAGUGAGGAAUAUUGCACAAUGGAGGAAACUCUGAUGCAGCAACGCCGCGUGGAGGAUGACGCAUUUCGGUGUGUAAACUCCUUUUAAGAGGGAAGAUAAUGACGGUACCUCUUGAAUAAGCACCGGCUAACUCCGUGCCAGCAGCCGCGGUAAUACGGAGGGUGCAAGCGUUACUCGGAAUCACUGGGCGUAAAGGGUGCGUAGGCUGGCUUCUAAGUCAGAUGUGAAAUCCAAUGGCUUAACCAUUGAACUGCAUUUGAAACUGGGAGCCUAGAGUUCAGAAGGGGCAGAUGGAAUUAGUGGUGUAGGGGUAAAAUCCGUAGAUAUCACUAGGAAUAUCAAAAGCGAAGGCGAUCUGCUGGGAUGAUACUGACGCUGAGGCACGAAAGCGUGGGGAGCAAACAGGAUUAGAUA
rnacentral:rRNA from 1 species